AGAGCAGAGGGGAAGAGGAGAGGAGAGGAGAGCGGAGGGGAGGGGAGGGGAGAAGAGGGGAGGGGAGAGGACAGGAACACGCAGGAGGAGGGGGGAGAUCAAACUCCUUCUUUGCUGCAUUGAAAGCUUCUGAAUUUCAAGCAGAAAGUAGAAGGAGCCCCACACAGCAAUAUGCAUCUUUCCUUGGGCUGCAUGUGCAGAGCAUAGACAAUGAAAAUCUCCACCCCCUCCCCCAUGCUUUAUAGUCUACAAGAUUUUUGUUUCUUUCCUCCUCAGAGAUGGAAGCUAUGUAAAAGCAAAUAUAGAGACGCACAUACUUUUUUUUUUCUUUUUCUUUUUUUUUAAAUCACAGACUAACAAACCAAAUGGAGCUGACUGCGGAUUAUCCUAAAGCGCACCUGCUGGGAGCGCUCUGGGGUCUCUGCACAAAACCUACUCUUGAGCUCUUUGGCUUCCUCCGAGAGAGCGGGAGCCCAUCCUUCCCCCUGGCCCACUCAGCCGAAAGGGAUGCUGUGAAAAGAGCUGCUGCCCACCGCCUCCGGCUGCUGUCCAGAGGGCUCCGCCCGUAGAGGUCAACUCCCUUGAUUCUUUCCAGCUCUCCCUCCCCCUCCAAGCCCAGACUCGGGUCUUCUCUCGACUCCCGCUACAGUCAGAGAGUGCGCAUCUGCUGCGCUGCCCUUAAUCUACGCCAGAAGCGGGCUCAGACCCUGUCUCUGCUCUCUAGGGUCAGAGGAAGCCCUAGCAAGCAGACUUUUUUCUCUGCAGUAAAAUCAUAGCCAGACCAGAUGGACCCCAGGUCUCCCGGGACUCGGCAGGUGCUGUUGAGUUAUUUUUUCUGCAAUACAAAGAAGGAUGACCCAGCCUGCCCUUGGAUUCUGAUCUUUUCCCAAAAUUUCCCAACCAAAAUCGCGGUAUCAAAAGCAUAUCCGUGUGUUUGUCAGACAAACGUGCAUGUUUAUAUUCGCUUUAAUCUGCUAGAUUUCUUCGCUGACAGCAGGAGAUGACUGACAAAGGUUUCUACAGCAGAACGCGGAAGGCAAGGUCCUUAAAGACUUGCCUUUCCUUACAAAGAUCUUAGAAAGGAGCUCAGGGCAAGCCAACCCAGUUAAUUGCCUUCAGUAAAAUAACACGAUUACAAAAUUAGAUCUGUACCAGAGGGAUAAUUAACUUUGAUCCGUGUCAUCACUUGAGAACUAGAUUUAUAGACAUAUGUAUGGGUUUUAGGUGUGCUGUAAAUGGCAUGCAGAUAUAUGCAUAAGUGUACGCAGAUUCAUAUGCCCACUCCCCUUCCACCACGCAGACUAAUGAAUGACAGCUCUGGCAGGAGAAGAGCUGAGACCGAAGUACUGCCUCUGACUGCGGAGGUAGGGACUCCAAGCCUAGAACUCGAAGGGAGAGUGAAGGAAAGUAGUAGUUGCAGUGAGUCAGUUGCUUCGGGAUCAAGAUCAGAGACUCUGCCCUCCGUGUUCACAGCGGACCUUGAUUUAAUGUCAUACAAUUAAGGCACGCGGUGAAUGCCAAGAGCGGAGCCUACGGCUGCACUUGAAGGACACCAGAGACUCGCGGUCAAAAAAGGCUGGGGAGAAACAAUUGCUGCUGGCUUCUAGAAUGAAUUCAUCACCCAUCCUGAGCAGCAUUAGGACCCAUGCAUUGACUCAGAAUCUUUAGAAUUCGAGUCAUAUGUUUUUCAGGGAGGAUCCGGGAAAUCCGCAUGUAUAUCUCCAAGGGCAAUAUCAGGUUUCAAUGACAGCUGUCAAGAGAGCAGUAGCUCCAUUGAUGCAAAUGGUCUAGAAAGUCAGCAUUCAGAACACAGUGGUCUUUUUGAAACAGGAUGAGAUUUUCCUCAAUCCUGGGCCGAAUCGGGAAAACAAAGUGUAUGAGAGGGGUAUUAAAUAACCCCCAGACCACACUGAUCAAAAAACCUCAAAUGAUUCAACUAUCUGUGAAAAUAGCACCCCCUUCCCAUAGCUCUCCACUUUCCCUCAUUCUCUACCCAGUCUCAUGGUGGCCUUGCUGGCCUUAAAUGUUCAAGGCAACAUCUCAGUACCCAAAGCCAAGCCAGAAACUAUAAGACUUGGUAAACUAAUUUAUUAGGAAGACUAUAAGGUAAAUUUAGUUAAGAUAGGUCCACUCCGCAACCUUGGAGGCAAAAAAAAAAAAAAAAAAAAAAAACAUGGCUGAAAAAGAGCUCUGAGGGAAGUCUUUGUUCUGUGGUGGCCUGCCUGGCCUGAGAACAAAGGAGGUGCUGAAGAAGGAUGUCCAAAAGUGGCCGCGCCCUCCACGCCUUGCGCUGUCCGUGGUGCUGACCGGACUGUCUCCCUUUUCCCCCUCCUCCUUCUGUAAUUCUGUAAGCAAGGCAAUAGAAUUCCUUCUUCCUUACCCCCCUCCAAGCCAGAACUAGGUAAUUUACAAAUAAAAAAACUAAAAUAUGGACAGAAUGUUAACAUUUAAACAGUAUUUUGCUGAACCUAUCUACUCUGUUAUGAUAUUCAGUUGAUGUGGCCUGAAACCUGAAUGCCAGUAGUUGACAAAAUCUGCUAGAAGGAAAUUAAAUAGAAUGAAAUUUUGUUUUAUCUUAAAUCACCACCUUGAAAACAGAAACAUAAGCUUUUCAGUUAAGGAUAUUAAUUCAGAUGUGGUCACCUAAUACACAUCUCAAAGGAUCCCAGAGUGUGCCUCAAGACAUAUGGAAAAGGAUAAGACUGGGACUGAUUUAGUUACCAGGACAGACAGGAGUAAAGCAGCCUACAACCUCUGUACAGUCUCUCAGCAGCGAGACCUGCAGAGCUGCCUUCCUAAGAGACUUCUGAGGCCAAGAGCAGCAAAAUGAUGGGGGGCUGGUGCCCAAGAGCUAGCACUGCGUAUCUACGUUCACGGGAGGCACUGCAGGCCCAGGAGGCCUGCAUCCAACACUGCGGAGAAAAUCAGACUGCAGAGGCCUUCUCCUCUCAGCUUUCUCGGACGAGACCUGCAGAGGCAGGGCACUCUACCAUAUCCCAUGUAGUUAAGAUAUGCCUUAGGACUUUUUGGUCAAAUGUGUCUGAAUCAAUGUAUUCAACAUAUAUUUAAAAUUCUCAGCAUUCUCACUUAAAUAUUGGAAAUGUUGUAACAUAACAAUAGAAUAUUAAUUUUAUAGUUAGUAAUGUUUGCAAUGGAAAGAAAUUGGCAAUAAAUUGAUUUUUAUCCAGCCUAGGCCCAGGAAAGAAAAAUGUUCAGUGUUUGAAUUUGUUUAUAGAUUCACAUCUCAAAUGAUGUCAAACAUCAACCAUAGAUUAACUAAAUCAGGUUUUACAAGACACACAGUGGCAGUGAUUUUCAUCUAGGCCUAGAAAUGAGCCAUAGAUGAAAGUGUUCUAAAAGAUAUUCUUUUAUAACAUUUAUUCUCUUACACCUGAAUGACGGAAAAGUAGCCACUGAUUCAGAAAAUAAUCCAGACCAGAAACAAUAUCCUUGGCAAUCUAGCUCCUUCUCACUCCAUCCUAAAGGGUGGACUUUCUUUGACUUCUGAUUUUAAAAUUCUGUAAAUUAGGACUUUUUUUAUCCACAAAUAUUAGGUUUGUAUUUGACUUUACACAAUACAGUGGGAAGGAGUUAGCAAACUGUGUUGGGAAAGGAGCAACCUUAUGUUUCCCUUGUGUCAGUUAAAAGACAAUCACCAGAAAUGGAAAUGGGUUUGAGGUACUGCAGGUUGUCACAGGGGUUCUUUCUUCUUGUAUCCAUCUAGUUGUAUUGAGUCCCCUGAGCACAUCACAAAGCAAAUGGUAAAGGCUUCAAAAACAGUCCUCUUUGCAUUGUUGUAGCUCAGGUUACGUAAUAAGAACACACUAAUACUCCCCAGCCGAAUCCUAUUUGUUUACCAAAGUCCUAAACUCUGGCUUUAGAAAGCUUAAUCAGUUAAAAAUAUAUUGUCUAAACAGAAAUGAAAUGUGUAAUAUGAUAUGAAAAAAAAAACUAAACAAUAAGGGCACAAAUACAGGAUUUAGUCAUCUGUUUAUCAAGAUAAAGUGGAGUACGGUUUUUGAAUCAUAGUGUUUCUAUACUUUUAACACUAUUUGUUUUUAAUUUUUUUAAAUAAUCAUCCAAGUUAAUGUCCAUUACUAAAUGUUUCUGCUAUGAAAUUCCGUGCUCAGUGUUUCCCAGCAAAAAAACUUAGGCGAACAAUUAGAGAGCUUUGGUGCAGAGGACCACGGGAAUCCUUCGGCAAUCACAACUUUCAUCUAGCGGCCUGAAAUUAGAGCUUCUCGGAAUAAUUUAGGACCGGCUUGACCCCUUGAGACACUCAGAGACAGCCCUCCUGGGAAACAGCAUAUUUCUUUCCUUGGAAUAAGAUGCUAGCAUAGGGAAUCUAGAGGUAUCUUGUAUCAACAAUGGCAGGGCGCCCUCUGCUGAUCCCAAAGAAAUAGCACACUGGUUACAGAAGCCAGAUGGUUAAGAGUUUCAAUAAGCCCUGGAAACAUUAAGCUCUUAGGAUCAUUUAAUCUGUAGAAUUUAAAAGCUUCCAUCAUAUUCUCCGUAUUUUUGACAAGGCUAUCCGAUUUUUAUUUCGAGCGCUUCUGGGAUGGUUACCUUCCAUUCCACGGGUAGUGAGAAGUCAUUGUUUGAAGCUAACUGUCGAUUCUGUUGGUUGUAUUUCUGUGUCCUUUCUUUCUUCGGGUUUGUAAAAAAAGAUUAAACCGUAUAUCUCAGGGCAAAACCUCUACAGUAAGUAGCUGAAUGGCAAAUACUUUCAACAUUUUUGGCCAUAACUGAAAUUUUAUAAAAGGAAAUAUUUUAAUUGGAAUAAAAAUAGGAGGCUAAAGGUGUUUGCUUAUUUUUAAAGGACGUUAAAACAAAAUAAUGUCUUACAUAAAGAACAAUUGAUUUGUAUUAAUAUUGACUCCAAUUUUCAAAGAUACAGUCUUUCAUAAGCAAGUGAGUUAUAUUUCAGGAAGAAGGUAAACAAUUUUGUGUCUUAUUAAUUUAUCCAAAAUUUCACCCCGAAAUCUUCCUAGUGAGUACUCAGAUAGCAAAGAUGCCAGGAAGUAGGACCACUGUGAGUAAGACCAUCAGGGAUGCAGAAACGGAAGCACAUGUGCAGACUUCACGUGUUAUUUGUAUUUUUCUGUAUGUAGAGAUCUAUUAUAAAAUGAAAUGGAGAAGUCUUGAAAAGUUAAAAUCAAGUUUUUAUUUUAUGUCUCAUUAAGCUUACAUUGAGUAAAAUAAUGUAGAACUCUAUUACUUCAACACAGUGAGUUUAGAAGUUCAAGCUUACUUUGAAAUAGACGUAUCUUUGCUGUGAAAGCUGUUACUACAUCACCGCUGGCAUAAUAAAAUGCAUCUAACCAUGUGGUUGUUAAAUAAAUCUUUUAAAAUAAAGUUCACUUUAUUUUA